GAUGAACGCUGGCGGCGUGCCUAAUACAUGCAAGUCAAGCGAACAGACGAGGCGCUUGCUCUUCUGACGUUAGCGGCGGACGGGGGAGUAACACGUGGAUAACCUACCUAUACGACUGGGAUAACUUCGGGAAACCGGAGCUAAUACCGGAUAAUAUAUUGCACCGCAUGGUUCACUCGUGAAAGACGGUUUUGCUGUCUCUUAUAGAUGGACCCGCGCCGCAUUAGCUAGUUGGUAAGGUACCGGCUUACCAAGGCAACGAUGCGUAGCCGACCUGAGAGGGUGAUCGGCCACACUGGAACUGAGACACGGUCCAGACUCCUACGGGAGGCAGCAGUAGGGAAUCUUCCGCAAUGGGCGAAAGCCUGACGGAGCAACGCCGCGUGAGUGAUGAAGGUCUUCGGAUCGUAAAACUCUGUUAUUAGGGAAGAACAAAUGUGUAAGUAACUAUGCACGUCUUGACGGUACCUAAUCAGAGAGCCACGGCUAACUACGUG
rnacentral:rRNA from 1 species